rnacentral:tRNA from 1 species
GGGAGGUUAGCUCAGUUGGUAGAGCAUCACGUUGACAUCGUGGAGGUCGCUGGUUCGAGUCCAGUAUCUCCCACCA